AUUGAACGCUGGCGGCAGGCCUAACACAUGCAAGUCGAACGGUAACAGGAAGCAGCUUGCUGCUUCGCUGACGAGUGGCGGACGGGUGAGUAAUGUCUGGGAAACUGCCUGAUGGAGGGGGAUAACUACUGGAAACGGUAGCUAAUACCGCAUAACGUCGCAAGACCAAAGAGGGGGACCUUAGGGCCUCUUGCCAUCGGAUGUGCCCAGAUGGGAUUAGCUAGUAGGUGGGGUUACGGCUCACCUAGGCGACGAUCCCUAGCUGGUCUGAGAGGAUGACCAGCCACACUGGAACUUAGACACGGUCCAGACUCCUACGGGAGGCAGCAGUGGGGAAUAUUGCACAAUGGGCGCAAGCCUGAUGCAGCCAUGCCGCGUGUAUGAAGAAGGCCUUCGGGUUGUAAAGUACUUUCAGCGGGGAGGAAGGGAGUAAAGUUAAUACCUUUGCUCAUUGACGUUACCCGCAGAAGAAGCACCGGCUAACUCCGUG
rnacentral:rRNA from 1 species